GGCUGUGAAUGACAUGAAGUGAGGACUUACUGCAUCUGAAGAGUCCCUGAAGGAGCUUCCUGCAGUUUUCCUUAUAAGGGUAUAAAAGAGUGGCUCUUUUUUGCACGUGUCUAAAUAGAGACAAGUGGAAACUAGGGGAUUCUUCUGAUGUGUGAUGAAUAUGAACAUUUAUGUAUGCAUUCCAUGUGGGAACAAGACCUAGACACCGGUGGACAGCAGCAUGCAGCUUAAAAGCACGUGAUCCUUAAAUGAAGAUUUUGAAAAGAGUGGGGGAGG